UCUCUCUAUGCUCUCGUUUUUUCUCUCCCAGAACUUUGCGAUACGGCGAUAUCCAGUUUAUCCACCCACCCGCUGCCCACCGCACUCGUUCCAACCUAGUUGGGCCACCCGCCACCCCGUAAAAAAAAAAAAAAAAAAAAAUCCCCGAAAAUCCGAGCGGCCUCCACGAACUCCUCCGCUGCAACGACAUAAAAGAGCCGCGUCGUCCCUUCCCCUCCCGGCUUCCAGGCCUGCAUCCCGCGUCUCUCCCCCUUCCUCCCCAACAACCCCGCCGCCUCCGACGUUGACCUCGGCGGCCGCCGCCGGCGAGGACGCACCUCGCCGGCCACCCACCCCCUGCUACUCGAUCCGUAUCUCCUACUCCGAGGAUCCGCGUAGCCGCCUCCGGUCGCCCACCCGCGCAACCCUAGAUCUCCGAUACCCCGCGCGCCGUCCCACCGACGGCCACCCGAUCGGAAUGGGCCAAAAUCUUCAGUAGUACGGUCCAAGGACCCAAGUGUACCCUCCUCCGCCUCCGCCUCCGCCUUCGCGCGUGCGCGAAGCGCCGCCGCGAUGGCGAUCCGCAUCACCAUGUCCUACUCGGGCUACGUGGCGCAGAACCUGGCCGCGUCCUUCGGCCUGCGCUGCACCACCGCCGCCGCUGCGGGCGCUGGCGCGGCGCCCGGCGCGGGGUGCCGCUUCCUCCAGGACGCGCUAUCCCGCCCCUUCUGCCUCUUCGCCUCCUCCCGCCGCGCUGACCCCCACCAUGACGCCGAGGAUCACAAUCACCCGAAGCAGCCCAUGCCCAGGCCCAAGGCUCUGCCCCCUGCCGCCGCAGCAGGAGGCGGACACUCGCUGUUGCUGCCGCGGUCGUGUUCCACGAAGGCGCCGGCGCCGGUGGAUGACCCCCCAGCCUCGUUGGCCGUGGGGCUGCUGUCGGUGUUAACGUCUGGGAUAGGAUCGACUGGUGGCAUUGCUGGUGCAUCCUCCCUCGCUGCCUCGCCAUCAAUAUCAGCCGGGUUCAACCCUUCGGCACUCCUCCCGUUCCUGCAGGCGACCAAAUGGCUCCCCUGCAGCGACAUAGUCACUGCCACGACGACGUCUCGAAGUUCAGGACGCCCAGCACGUGCGACAGCCGCGCCUUCACCGCGCACAGCUGCACCUUCACCGCGCACAGCUGCACCUUCGUCACGUCCUGCACCACGGGCAGCCGCUCUAUCUCCCUGUCCAUCACCUGUGCCAUCACCUGCUGUUGCUGCUCCUUCCAAGGUCGGCAUACAAGCAUUGGUUGGUAGUGCUAGCAUCGCCUCAGGUUCAGCUGUGAUUGGAAGGGGGGCUAUUGCCUCUGGUGCGGCUGGCAUGGUGAAGAAGAGUGGUCCUAGUCUUCCUGCUGGAGCAGGGGUGAGAAGGAAGACUGGUUGGCUCUCAAGGUGGGUGAGCUCAUGCUCAGAUGAUGCAAAGACUGUCUUCGCCGCUGUGACCGUGCCACUGCUCUAUAAAUCAUCCCUAGCUGAGCCUAGGUCCAUCCCAUCCAGGUCAAUGUUCCCAACAUUUGAUGUUGGUGACCGGAUCCUUGCUGAGAAGGUUUCAUACAUUUUCCGGGAGCCAGAAAUUUUGGAUAUUGUGAUCUUUCGUGCGCCUCCCGUGCUUCAGUUCAUUAGAGCUUCUUAUGAUAAUAAGAACGAUCUUUGUAGGCAUUGGGCUACAACUCAGGUGAUGUGUUCAUCAAGAGAGUUGUGGCUAAGGGCGGGGACAUCGUUGAAGUACGUGAUGGUAACUUGUUGGUUAAUGGAGUAGUUCAGGAGGAGGACUUUGUGCUGGAACCAGCCGACUACAAAAUGGAUCCGCUGACUGUGCCUAAAGGCUAUGUCUUCGUACUGGGGGAUAACAGAAACAACAGCUUUGAUUCACAUAACUGGGGUCCACUUCCAGUUAAGAACAUCCUCGGGAGAUCUGUCCUCCGAUAUUGGCCCCCAUCAAGAAUAACAGAUACAAUAUAUGAGCAUGACAUGAUGCAGUACACAGGUGCUGCAUCCUGAUAAUACAUUGUGGCAAUACCACAUGUUGCAGGCCCAUUUUUCCUUUCCCGGCUGAGCUUUGCUGACAAGUGAUAUGCUGAGCCGUGGGGUUCUUUAUUUAUUGGUUGUAGCCUUUCCUCAAAUGCCAAUUGGCAGGUUGGCUGACAGAUUAGUUUUUUCCCCUCCCUACGGGCAGAUGCUUGUUUGAAGGCAACAAUUCUUGUACUCUGUAGCUAAGAAUGAAUGUCAUAUAAACGUUGCAGAAGUAGAUGAACGAGCGUCCAGGACUAGGAUGAGGAUGACAGUUUUCUUGUUUUAGGAGACGAGUUGGUGCUCGAAACUUAUGUAAAGGAAAUACAAAGCAUUUAUGAUUUGCUCAGCUUGUGUUAUGUAUCUUUUCAUUGCUGAUCUUGGAUCAAAGAUUCAAGGCAAGGUCAGCCACCAGCUAAGGUUUUGGUUGAAUCCAUGUAUGAUGUAUCCUGUCUGAUAAAGUUUCUUGUGAUGAUAAAAUUUUGGAAUAAUUUGCCCUA